UGUUUUCCUCUUAUUUUGUUGCCCCUUUGCUUACUAUAUAGAUAUACAAACAUAUGGUCACAUCUAUUUGGUGUAUAGGGAAAAGCAAGUUUAAGAGAGCAUCUCCAAGGGACUAAUAUGCAAGAGGACUCCAGCCCAGUAAUGCCCCAUUCCCCACUUAGGGGUGGGCAUGUGUUGACUUCACUGCAGCUCCAAGGAAUCUCUGGCCAAUCCAAUCACUGGGCACAUGUCUGGACCACUUAGUCACAUGGCUUCACUUCCUCCAUUUAUGUUUCCACCAUCCACACUCCAGCCAAUGGCUUCCCACCCUUCACAGUCGCUGCAUAUUGUUUAACUGCUUCUGACUGAAAAAUAUUCUUCCUCUCACCUUUUAAUUCCAGCUGGCAGUGUUUUGCACAGAGUAGGAGCUCAACAAAUAUAUAUGUAUUGAUCCAUCAACAGAAUUAGAAAACUGCUUAAAUGCAAGCCAAUUCUCCACCAUCUGACUACCACAAAUGGAGGGCAAAGGAUUCUGGUAACAACUUUGUGGGCAAGUCAGUGGAUAAACAGCAAGUUAGUGCUGGCUACAGAUGGCCUCAGAGUACCCUCACAUAACACUCACACCACUAGUGCUGCUAUCCCCAGACACCCGUAGUUACAAACAAAGUGAGGGAGGAAUGGACAGUGCAUCACAAUACGAUUUCUAAGAGUCCAGGUACACUGAAAGGUUAAUUUCUAGUCUGGAAAUAAAAGAAAAAAUUCUACCAUAAGAGAUGAUUUUUAAAGUUAAAGAGUGGGAAUGUGUAAAUAAAUAAUGAAUUCGUUGCAAAAGAUUUUUCAUAGUAUUAAGUUAGGGUUUAACACUACUUUUUUAGGCCAGUGGCCUACAAGAAGCCAGUUGGAAUCAACUGCAAAACUUGUAAACUACCCAGGCUCACUUCCCAAGAUUCCUUAGCCCUCCACUCUUACCCUCUCUAGGAAUUACUGCUGUGAUUAGUCACUAUUAUGACUAAGAGUAUGUCUUAUUCCUCAUGUACACUGGGGACAGAAGAAUGUUAAGUCCCAAAUUUUAAGCUGAGUUCCAGCAGCAUACAAUAGCACACACACUAGUUUCAAGGAAACAUGUUUUUAUAGAUUAGGAGAGAAAAAGAAGUGAAAUAUAAAACUGAUUUCUUUUUGAAAAGAUAUUAUAUGUAGCAUGAUUACAACCCAGUCCUAAAAAAAUAGCUUAUAAAAAAAUUUCAUUCCUCUGCCAGGGUUGGAGGAAAAUAAGAUUUAAAAUUUCAAACUUACAGAGAAAUAAAAUAAACACCUAAUACCCACAAUCCAUGUUUAACAUUGUCAACAUUCUGCCAUACUUGCUUUUUCUAUUUUAAAGUAUAUAAAUUAAGACAUCAUGACAUUUCAUCCCCCAAAUCUCAUAAUAUCCAUCUCUUAAAAAAUGAGUACCUUUUCUUUGCAACCACAAUUCCAUUAUCCUGCCUUAGACACUUAAUAGUAAUUGCUUAAUAUCAUUGUACCCAUGCCAUAGCCAACUCUCUGGAAUUGGCCUCCAAAUGUCUUACACGGUUUGUUCAAACUAGAAUCCAGACAAGGACCAUAUAUUUGCAUUGCAAACUCAGUUGAUGCGAGGAUUUCAAUAGCUACAGAAAAAAAGUUUUAGUUUUUCCUUCUCCUUUUCUAUAUUUUCAACAUUUAAUGAGUAUGAGGUGUGGAGGUGGGAUAACAUUGGCCUAAAUCUAAUGGAUUCUGUUACCUGGGCCUGUCUAAUAUUACAUUCUAAAAGUCAGCCAGGCAUGGUGGCUCACACUUGCAAUCCCAAAACGUUGGAUGGCUGAGGUGGGAGGAUCCCUCGAGCUCACGACUUAAAGAGUAGCCUCGGCAACAUAGUGAGACCUUGUCUCUGCUAAAAAUAAAAAAUUAGCGGGGUGUGGUGGCAUGCACCCAUAGUACCAGCAACUUGGGAGGUUGAGGUGGGAGAAUCACUGGAGCUCAGAUAGAGGCUGCAGUGAGCAAGCUAUGAUUGUGCCACUGCACUCCAGCCUGGGCAACAGAGUGAGACUCUCUCUCUCUGUCUGUCUGUCUCUGUCUCUCUCUCUCCAUCCCCCCAUACACACACACAUACACACUCACACACACAGAGUUCUAAAAGUCAAUUUAAAUAUUUUUGACAGACAAGAGACUAAGAAAGGUUUUUUUGUUUGUUUUUUGUUUUUGUUUUUCUUUUUUUUCUUUUCCUAUGCUCUGAAAGAAAGACAAGAAUGGGGAUGGGGUGGGGAGCCACAUGUCAUCUGUCUCUGCCACCUGAAUCAGGGGUCUGAGUCUUAGGGAAGAACAAACUGCAGGCAGAAUCCAAAAG
rnacentral:lncRNA from 1 species